AGCAUUCUCUGGUGUUGAAGGCCCUGCAAAGCAGCAUCGCGGUGGCGGAGCGUCGUUUGCGACGCCCAACACACAAAACAAGCGGUGAGUGCUUUGGGGUGGGGUGACUGCGUACCUUUUGUAUAAUGGGUCAGCGACUUAUAUUCUGUAGCAAGGUUAACCGAAUAGGGGAGCCGGAGGGAAACCGAGUCUUAAUUGGGCGUUAAGUUGCAGGGUAUAGACCCGAAACCCGGUGAUCUAGCCAUGGGCAGGUUGAAGGUUGGGUAACACUAACUGGAGGACCGAACCGACUAAUGUUGAAAAAUUAGCGGAUGACCUGUGGCUGGGGGUGAAAGGCCAAUCAAACCGGGAGAUAGCUGGUUCUCCCCGAAAGCUAUUUAGGUAGCGCCUCGUGAAUUCAUCUCCGGGGGUAGAGCACUGUUUCGGCUAGGGGGCCAUCCCGGCUUACCAACCCGAUGCAAACUGCGAAUACCGGAGAAUGUUAUCACGGGAGACACACGGCGGGUGCUAACGUCCGUCGUGAAGAGGGAAACAACCCAGACCGCCAGCUAAGGUCCCAAAGUCAUGGUUAAGUGGGAAACGAUGUGGGAAGGCCCAGACAGCCAGGAUGUUGGCUUAGAAGCAGCCAUCAUUUAAAGAAAGCGUAAUAGCUCACUGGUCGAGUCGGCCUGCGCGGAAGAUGUAACGGGGCUAAACCAUGCACCGAAGCUGCGGCAGCGAACGUAUCACUUAAAGCGAUUCAGCGGGUUACGAUUAACGGAGCGAAGCGACGUCAAAGCGUAUACAAAGUCGAGUCGGUUUAAGGAUACGUUCGUUGGGUAGGGGAGCGU
rnacentral:rRNA from 1 species